rnacentral:piRNA from 1 species
UGGGCUCAAAUCGGAGAUGCCUGGGGCUU